rnacentral:rRNA from 1 species
AGUGAACGCUGGCGGUAGGCCUAACACAUGCAAGUCGAACGGCAGCACAGUAAGAGCUUGCUCUUACGGGUGGCGAGUGGCGGACGGGUGAGGAAUACAUCGGAAUCUACUUUUUCGUGGGGGAUAACGUAGGGAAACUUACGCUAAUACCGCAUACGACCUACGGGUGAAAGCAGGGGAUCUUCGGACCUUGCGCGAUUGAAUGAGCCGAUGUCGGACUAGCUAGUUGGCGGGGUAAAGGCCCACCAAGGCGACGAUCCGUAGCUGGUCUGAGAGGAUGGUCAGCCACACUGGAACUGAGACACGGUCCAGACUCCUACGUGAGGCAGCAGUGGGGAAUAUGGGACAAUGGGCGCAAGCCUGAUCCAGCCAUACCGCGUGGGUGAAGAAGGCCUUCGGGUUGUAAAGCCCUUUUGUUGGGAAAGAAAAGCAGCAGGUUAAUACCCCGCUGUUCUGACGGUACCCAAAGAAUAAGCACCGGCUAACUUCGUG